rnacentral:rRNA from 1 species
GACGAACGCUGGCGGCGUGCUUAACACAUGCAAGUCGAACGGAAAGGCCCUGCUUGCAGGGUACUCGAGUGGCGAACGGGUGAGUAACACGUGGGUGAUCUGCCCUGCACUUCGGGAUAAGCCUGGGAAACUGGGUCUAAUACCGGAUAGGAGCCAUUUUUAGUGUGAUGGUUGGAAAGUUUUUUCGGUGUAGGAUGAGCUCGCGGCCUAUCAGCUUGUUGGUGGGGUAAUGGCCUACCAAGGCGGCGACGGGUAGCCGGCCUGAGAGGGUGGACGGCCACCGGGAGGAGCAGGCACGAGCCUGCCGCCGGAGGGAGGGGGGAGUGAGAGACUAGCGCACGGAGGGGCGGGGCGGGUGGAGGGCGUGCGGGGGGGGGACGACGGCCUGUGGGUUCACACCUCUGUCGACUGGGGGCUGGUUUUUUGGCGACUGGAGUGAGAUAAGAACCACCGCUAACCAACGGGCCAGCAGCGGCGGUAAUAAGCGGAACACCACACGCCUGAAC